UUGUUGUUUGGAGAGUUUUUGCCUCCAUCUUGAGACGAAAGAAAUCUGAGGAACAAACUUGCCUAGCUGGAAUGAAGGACUGACAACAAGCAGACUUGUGUGGAAAAGGGUGGUGGCAAGAACUUCAGUAGUGGAUGGAGAGCACCAACCAUGUUUACCCCGGUUACUUGCUUUAUGCUGAAGCAUUGGCCUACACUACUCCUCAAGCCUGACUCCAUCUGAUUCCAGAGGACGUCUGACCAUCAGGUACAGCCUGUGCCCUGCUGGUAUGUUGGCGAUUUAUAAUACUAACAGUUUUCUUUCUGUAAGAGUGGCUCAGACUGGUUUCUAAUUCACAGCAUUUGAAGCGUACAUGAUGUUUUUUUUUCACACUGCAUGCUUUUUUUUGAUGAUGUUCGCUAUUUGUUUUCUCACAAAUAUUUUCUUGAGUUUGUAGCCGAACGUAAAGUCCAGAUAAACACAGUGUGGAAUUGCUAAAUUUAUCAGAAUGUUGCACACAAGGUAUUUAUAACGAUCAAUUUUAUGUUAAGAAUUAAACUGGCACUGUGUUUUGUAUUCUGCACCGGUGUGAUUUCAUGUGAUUUCAUAGUUUCAUUUAGUCUUAGUUUAGAAUAUUUACCUUAUAAUGAUGGAUU